rnacentral:rRNA from 1 species
GACGAACGCUGGCGGCGUGCUUAACACAUGCAAGUCGAACGAUGAAGCCUAGCUUGCUAGGUGGAUUAGUGGCGAACGGGUGAGUAAUACGUGAGUAACCUACCUUUAACUCUGGGAUAAGCCUGGGAAACUGGGUCUAAUACCGGAUACGACCAAUCUCCGCAUGGGGUGUUGGUGGAAAGCGUUAUGUAGUGGUUAUAGAUGGGCUCACGGCCUAUCAGCUUGUUGGUGAGGUAACGGCUCACCAAGGCGACGACGGGUAGCCGGCCUGAGAGGGUGACCGGACACACUGGGACUGAGACACGGCCCAGACUCCUACGGGAGGCAGCAGUGGGGAAUAUUGCACAAUGGGCGCAAGCCUGAUGCAGCGACGCCGCGUGAGGGAUGACGGCCUUCGGGUUGUAAACCUCUGUUAGCAGGGAAGAAGAGAAAUUGACGGUACCUGCAGAGAAAGCGCCGGCUAACUACGUG